rnacentral:rRNA from 1 species
AGAGUUUGAUCCUGGCUCAGAGCGAACGCUGGCGGCGUGCUUAACACAUGCAAGUCGAACGUGAACGGGGCAACCCUAGUAAAGUGGCGUACGGGUGAGUAACACGUGGGUAAUCUACCUUAAAGUCUGGAAUAACCGGCCGAAAGGCUGGCUAAUACUGGAUAGAGCGACUGGAACUCGUAAUGAGUUUUUCGGGAAAGGGAGCCUGAUAAGGGCCUUCGCUUUAAGAUGAGCCUGCGUCUGAUUAGUUAGUUGGUGAGGUAAUGGCUCACCAAGACGAUGAUCAGUAGCUGGUCUGAGAGGAUGAUCAGCCACACUGGAACUGAAACACGGUCCAGACUCCUACGGGAGGCAGCAGUGGGGAAUCUUGCGCAAUGGACGAAAGUCUGACGCAGCCACGCCGCGUGAGUGAAGAAGGCCUUCGGGUUGUAAAGCUCUGUCACCUGGGACGAAAACCCUUUUGGUUAAUAGCCAAGAGGCUUGACGGUACCAGGGGAGGAAGCACCGGCUAACUUCGUGCCAGCAGCCGCGGUAAUACGAAGGGUGCAAGCGUUGCUCGGAAUUAUUGGGCGUAAAGGGUUGGUAGGUGGUCUUGUUUGUCUAAGGUGAAAUCCCAUGGCUUAACUGUGGAAGUGCCUUAGAAACGGCAAGACUAGAGUCCUAGAGGGGUUUGUGGAAUUCCCGGUGUAGCGGUGAAAUGCGUAGAGAUCGGGAGGAACACCAGCGGCGAAGGCGGCAAACUGGAUAGGAACUGACACUCAACAACGAAAGCGUGGGGAGCAAACAGGAUUAGAUACCCUGGUAGUCCACGCUGUAAACGAUGGGUACUAGGCUUUGUGGGAAUAGACCCCUGCAGAGCCGGAGCUAACGCAAUAAGUACCCCGCCUGGGAAGUACGGUCGCAAGACUAAAACUCAAAGGAAUUGACGG